GUAUGCUUUCUCUGGACGCACUUAUACUGAAAUUGAAAUGAUACAGAGAUUAGCAAGGCCUGGUGCCAGAAUGACAUGCAAACUUAUGAAGUGUUCUGUAUUUUG
rfam:Mus musculus chromosome 18, GRC primary reference assembly.